CCUACGGGUGGCAGCAGUGGGGGAUAUUGCACAAUGGGGGAAACCCUGAUGCAGCGACGCCGCGUGAGUGAAGACGUAUUUCGGUGUGUAAAGCUCUAUCAGCAGGGAAGAAAAUGACGGUACCUGAGCAAGAAGCCCCGGCUAACUACGUGCCAGCAGCCGCGGGACUACGUAGGGGGCCAGCGUUAUCCGGAUUUACUGGGUGUAAAGGGAGCUUAGACGGGUUGGUAAGUCUGGAGUGAAAGUCCGGGGCUCAACCCCGGGAGUGCAUUUGAAACUGGGAAACUGGAGUUCAGGAGGGGUAGGCGGAAUUCCUGGUGUAGCGGUGAAAUGCGUAGAUAUCAGGAGGAACACCGGCGGCGAAGGCGGCCUGCUGGACUGCAACUGACGUUGAGGCUCGAAAGCGUGGGGAGCAAACAGGAUUAGAUACCCGGGUAGUC
rnacentral:rRNA from 1 species